UACGAAGGGUGCAAGCGUUGUUCGGAUUUAUUGGGCGUAAAGCGCGCGCAGGCGGAACGAUAAGUCAGAUGUGAAAUCUCGGGGCUCAACCUCGAAACUGCGUCUGAAACUGUCAUUCUGGAAUACCGGAGAGGGAUGGGGUAUUUCGCAUGUAGGGGUAAAAUCCGUAGAUAUGCGAAGGAACACCAGAGGCAAAAGCGCCAUCCUGGACGGUCAUUGACGCUGAGGCGCGAAAGCGUGGGGAGCAAACAGG
rnacentral:rRNA from 1 species